ensembl:lncRNA
GCUCACCAAUGGACCCUCUGCAGUGAAUGGGUGCCGUCAGAUUGAUAGUCCAAACAGCUGAUAAAAACACAAUAAUCCACAAGUAAUCCACACAUCUCCAGGCAAUCACUUAAUGUCUUAUGAAGCAAAAAGCUGCGGAUUUGUAAGAAACAGAUUCACUUUUAAGGCAUUUUUAAGUUUAUUUUCAUUCAAGCUGAGACCACCUCAUUCAGGUCAUUUUGGACUGAUUAUUUUUUGGUAUUGAUCUGAGCAUGACUGGCAUGUUCGUAUAGGCCUGAACAAACAAAACUAAGGGAAAAAAUGUGCCAGGUUCAGAAAAAAAAAACCUCUCCAAAUGCCCUAAUAUAUGACCAGCCACAUACAUAUGUACACAAAUACAUUAUGAACAACUCACAACAGCUGUUAUUGACAUAUGUGUCCUAAAUCAGCCUGUUGAUUUCUAACAGUCAAGAGGGUUUUGAUGGAAAAUGGCUGUGUAAAACAAAUUUAUGAUUGCUUUUUCCCAGUGUCUACAUUGCUGGUUUUGAGGAAUAUACACCAAACCCUUAAUAGACCACUUGGUGGCUAUGAAAGUCAGUCACUGGGAUGGGUAAGUGUAUGUGUGCCAUUUCAUGUGGAUUCUUUGGUUUUAUAUUUUUAACCGAGGCUGUAUUUGCUUUGAUCAGGGUGAUCAGAGAGCUGGCCACAAAAGCUCUGCACAAUCUAACUAUCUGGGCUCCUGAAUGCAUGGCCAACACUGUCUGUGGCCUUAUUGAAAAUCUCUCUCCCUCUCCAAGAUGCCUUUUGAAGAUGACCCAGUUACCAGGGAGUCAACCAAACCUCUUUAUAUUUGCAUUUUUAAAAAUCUUUUAUCAUUUUAACUGCUGUAUUUUUCUGUUUGCUUGGUUUUUAUCUUGUUAUUUUAACUCUAGUGACUCUUAUUUUAUCACAUCUCUGUAUUUGCCAUAAAGAUAAGCUUAGAUGCUAACAUGGCGAUCAGAAUACAUAACUACUACUACUACUGCUUCCACAAAUGUCUCACGGAGGAGUGAUUGUUUCAUGGAUUUGAGUUCAUCUACAUUCUGGUUUCUUGCAGCUGGUUGGCACUGGCUAAAAGAGACAGCUUGAAGACGAAUGCACUUUAAACAAUGGGAGCGAUUAAUGUUUGUGAUUUUGAUAUGAAAUUCUGAAUAAGUACUUGGGUGUGUUUUUGGGUGUACACAUACUUUUGGCAAUUUAUUGUUUGUUUACAUCCAUUUGUUGCCAUACAGAUCAGCUGGUUAGUCAAUACCUGUCGGCCCUGGAGAGUCCCGAGGUUCUGACACGCUGUGGCUGCGUUUAUGAUCUACAGAAGGUCAGACCUCAUAAUGUUGCGCCUGCUCAAGUCUGUAUCUGAACUUGUUCCCUAGAUGUUGCCUGGGCUCCAGGCCGCCUGUAAGGUAGUGCAGAAAGGGGAAAGUCUAACAGAAGCCAGGAGGGAUGUGGUCACAGCCAUGUCUCAGUGAGAAACACCUUUUUAUGUCUCCUUUGCACUUGAAGAACCAGUCUGCCUGAGCUUAAGCUCGGUCAACGCCUGCUACUUCCUGCAGGACCUGAAAUUCACGUCUCAGUUCACUGCUUUGUCCCAUCUUGCAUUGCAUGUCCAUGUGUCCUGUGCUUUCUUGUGCUUCUCAGGGUGUGUGUAGAUGUAGGAGUGUGUGCGUGAGGCAGCUCCAACCGUGUCCUGUGUGAGGACAACAUAAGGCCUGUGUAUGAAGCCUUGCUGGGCUGUAUGAACGACUACUGCAUGGACAGCUGAGGGGUCGUAGGGGCCUGGUACGUUCACAUGCCUUUAUAGAGGUGCAUACUUGUGUUGCACAAUUUGAAGUUAGGCAAUAAAUAAAAAUAAAAAAAGUAUUUAAUUUAUCUA